CUGGAGCUGUCCUUGUCUGCAAUCUCCGAGUAUUAAAAGGAUCAGCAACGAAGCACUGAGCUUUUUUGAUUGCACGUGCCAUCCAGGUAACCUUUGGGAGCAGAUAAGCAUUGGAGGUAUCCCAGAAGAUGACAGCACAUUGUCCAAGUCUGGUCAGAGCCAGUGACCUGAGGACCUGCCUGGGUGACAGUGAGUAGAGGGAUCAUGGGGGCUGGGGCCACGUGCCACACGACUCAGAUCUUGUGUCUGGUUUUCUUUCUCGCAGUUGACUCCGAGUACUCUUCCGAUGCCAGGAACCUCUGAGCCAGCCCAGGUGCCCCUCCUCUGCAUCAAAGAUGGAUUCGCAUCCCCGGCUGUCGGAAAGAUAAGUGCAGGGCAAAGACCCAGAGAGGGGCUGGGAGUCGGUGCAAGUGUGUGCAUUGCCCGGUGGGAUUUUUGAAAUUAGUCCGGUGCAAGGGGUAUCCUGUAACAGGUUAUUUGGACACAUCGAAGGAAGGGCUUACUUUGUCUCGUUGGAUUCACGUGUGCAGGGCAGAGCAGUUCUGGUCUGUGUCACGUCCUUUGUCUCGUCCCUGUUUUGUGUCCUUCUCUUAAUUGUGUCACAUGGUGUGUGUUGUCACUGGUACGGGGUGUCUCACUUGGGGUCAGCCUGGAACUGCUCUGCCCUGCUCCGUGGAUCAGUGGGUAGAUAGAAUAUUGCUCAGGGUCUCCCAUCAACAUGUCAGUUACCUCAGGCAGUCGAGCCGAUGUCCGUACGGUCCCGCCGGAUGGAGCGGGUGCACAUAACUCGUGUGCGAUGAUUAUAGCCGAGUGUUGUGGAGCCGAUGGUACUUGGAUAGCAGGGCCUGGAAGCUGGGUUGUCAUUUGUAUUCUCGUCCGCUGCGGUCAGAGUUCUCACUCGCUCAGUGGAAAUGAGUUCUUUGAAGUGGUUAAGGUCUCAGUGACCAUGUGGGUGACCUGACUAACCCUUUGGUUUUUGUUGUUUUUUUUCAGAUAAGCGGACACAGUGUACCCCAGAGGGAGACAAGUUGAAGCAGCCUGGGAAGAAGAUGGGGCCCAAUCGGUCUUGAGGGGUAGCAGCUCAGCAGGGAGACGAGCCAGGCAAUACACAACCUUUUCCCUGUCUGCUGAAGGUGCCGAAGGUCCAUCCGAUAAGAGGUCAAGCUGAAGGAACUGAGAUAGCCAGUAUGAGGCAGUACAUCAGCACAAGCCUCCACGUCCGUGUUGUCUUGCAGCGGCCGUCUGUUCACUUCACGGUGUGUAGCAACGCUUUGGCGUGCAGUCUGAUGGGGUUUAGAGGGGCGGUCUUGGGAGCAGCUGAAGAGAGAGGAGCCUUCUAGGUAUCCCAGAAGAUGACAGCACAUUGUCCAAGUCUGGUCAGAGCCAGUGACCUGAGGACCUGCCUCGGUGACAGUGAGUAGAGGGAUCAUGGGGGCUGGACCCACGUACCACACUACUCAGAUCUUGUGUAUGGUUUUCUUUCUCGCAGUUGACUCCGAGUACUCUCAUGACGACAGGAACCUCCGAGCCAGCCCAGGUGCCCCUCCUCUGCAUCAAAGAUGGAUUCACAUCCGCGGUCUCGGAAAGAUAAGUGCAGGGCAAAGACCCAGAGAGGGGCUGGGAGUCGGUGCAAGUAUGUGCAUUGCCCGGAGGGAUUUUUGAAAUUAGUCUCAGGUGCAGUGGGUAUCCUGUAACAGGUUAUUUGGACACAUCAAAGGAAGGGCUUACUUUGUAUCACUGGAUUCACGUGUGCAGGGCAGAGCAGUUCCGGUCUGUGUCACGUCCUCUGUCUCGUCCAUGUUUUGUGUUCUUCCUCUCUUAAUUGUGUCACAUGGUGUGUGUCGUCACUGGUGUGGGGUGUCUCACUUGGGGUCAGCCUGGAACUGCUCUGCCCUGCUCUGUGGGUCAGUGGGUAGAUAGAAUAUCGCUCAGGGUCUCCCAUCAACAUGUCAGUUACCUCAGGCAGUCGAGCCGAUGUCCAUACGGUCCUGCCGGAUGGAGCGGGUGCACAUAACUCGUGUGCAAUCGUGUGCAAGUGAGCUCAUACAGCAGCCGGGCUUCAAUGGGAUAAGAGCUCUCCCUUUCUUUCAUUGAAUGGGACUUCUCCAGCUAUUCCUGCUUUAUUGAAGCAUCAACUUUGGCAUCCAAAGCAGCAGAGC